AGCUAAACAAAAUGCAAUUAUCAAAAGAAAUGUUUCAGUUGAGAUUGUUUGACAUAUUUUUUUCAUAUAUAUCAAAAUGCACGUUGUAGGAAAAACAUAGCGUGCAUACAGAUACUAAGAUAUUUUUCUUCUUUAAUCCUUUUAUGUUGAAAUUGUAGGCACUCUAUAAAGAAGUAAUGCCUAGUUUUGAUGUCUUGGGAAAAAAAAUUCUUAUUUCUCAACAACGUUUGGAAAUGGAGCAAAAAUGAAACUUUUGGAAAUGGGCAGGUUGCUAUUGUCAAAGACAUGAGGGAAUCAAUGCUUGAAGAUAUUUACAUGACCUGGGACUUACUAGGCAGGCUACAGCUAUGUAUAAGACCUGGGACUUCAUAUUUGGCAAAAGCGUAUCCCCAGAUCAGUUGCUCGGGCGUUCAUACAAUUGUUAAAUGCUGUACAUUAUGUGGACGGAUUUUGAAUGGUCUUAAGGAGUUCACUAUUCUCGUUAUGGUCUCAUUAGGCAUGUUCAACUAAGAAAUGUAAUUAAGUUCUGUCAUUUUUAAUAUGGUUGACAGCUUAUUUGAUCAACCAACAAAUGUUUUAAGUUCUGUCACUUUUAAUAUGGUAUAAAGCUUAUUUGUUCAAUUAAUUGUUUUUAGUGUA